AGUUCUCACUUCUCAGACACAGUUCUCGUCUAGCCUCUGUUGAUAUUGUUUGAUAAUAUCAAGAUUUACAUCCCGGUUUAUCAAAAUUAAUAUUGUUGAUAGUUUUUUUGAUUCUUGACUAGUUAAUAGAGAUAGUCGUGAACUCUGCGUAGAUUUUCUAAUAUGUUGAAUUAGAUCUAAUCCUUCAUAACUAAACAUUUUUGUUUGUUUUAUCACGUUAAAACCUGAAACGGUACCCAAAAAAAUCCGUUACAGGUAAUUCUAACCAAACUUUCCCAACGUGUCUGCUGGUAUCUCGUGUUUUGAGCUAUUUUUGGUGUAAUCUUGGUGUCUUUUUGAGUAAUUUUCGGGGCAAAAAUGAGUGGAAAACUGUGGUUCUUUGUAAUUUUUGUGACAUUUGUCGUGGUGCAAGAUAGUAAGGCGGCGUUGGAGAAAUAUUGCUCGGAAAAUCGAAUCAGAACACUUGGAAAUUUACUGGAAUUUGCAAAAGAACUGAGUUCGGCUGAGUAUGCUGUAUCAAAUAUGACCACUAAAGCGUUGUAUUGCUGUGCCAAAGGAUAUCGGAGUAUCGAAUGGUUCAAGGACGAUAGGCCCUACCCCUGGACACAGGGUGUGUCGUCGCUGAUUUUGAACCCCGAUUCGGCCAAUCAGAGCGUUUACACGCAGCGACUGACGCAGGAGGACGCCGGUGUCUACACGUGUCGCGCCACCAACGACACACACCUUAUCGAGCAUCACAUCAGACUCACCGUUUUUCAAUCAAGCAGCUAUGUCGACGAGCCGAAACCGACUUACAAAGUACCUGAAGCCCACUUUGCCAAAAUUGAUGAGCCGGCAAGACUUUACUGCGAGGCUUUUGUUGGCAAAAGUGAUCUUCCCGAUGAAAUCAACACAAUUACUUGGAUGAGACCUGGCAUUAAUAUGACGGAGCUACUUGCUGAGGAAAGGAUCAAUACUACUGAGAUUUACAGGGACCAGCUACAGAUUAUUGGGUCUUACUUUUUGAUUGACAAGGUGAAGUUCUCCGAUUUCGGCGAUUAUUUCUGCACUAUCAGCAAUUCUGACGAUCAAUUCUUGACGGUCAAUACUUCUCUCAGAGAAAUCAACAAAAGUUCCAGACGAGAACGUAGCGAGUUCCCUUUUUGGAUGAGACUGAUGCUUGUUGUGGUGGCUGGACUCAUGUAUAUUAUCUGCACUUUUGACAAUCAAAUCGCUAAAUUCUUGUUUAUCACCUACUACACAGUGGCCAAUUUCUUCAGAAGACACUUCAGGUCUUACAACAAUUCAGUUGAUCGCAAAGACUACGAUGUGAUGGUUUCCUACAAACAACCUGAUAAAGAAUUCGCCGUUGAUAUUAUAGCUGCCAAACUGACCACCGAGUAUAACUACAAAGUUAUCUGCAAGGAACUGACCGAUCCUACAAUAAAAUCGACCUCAUGCAAUUCGAUCAUUUUGGUGCUUUCUCCGGCAACAUUCGACAAUCAGUGGACUCUUCCCUUGAUUUCCAAAGCCGUUAAACAGGUUUAUCCUAUCAUCAAGAAGCCCGUCAUUGUCAUACCUUCCAAGCCACUGCCAAACGAAAAAACGGUCGAAACAGUUGACACGUUUCAACGGCUGAAACAAGUUGAGGCCGUCAACGGACCUCGUGCCGUCAACGGAAAGAUGCGUUUCUUCUGGGCAAAGCUCACUUAUGUGCUGCCGCUAGCACAGCCGCAGCAGGGCUACACCGCCUCCGCUACAAACAGCACGAAUAAGAUCACAAUGCAACGCACUGGAUCCAACAAUGCUAACAGAGGUGGUAUUUUGGUGUAAACUCCUUCCAAAAUUGAUUUUUGUGAUGUAGUUUUAUUUAUUUAUAGAGUAUUUCGUUUUGUUUAUUUUCAAAUCACUAGAAAUUUUAUCGAUAUUAUUUGUAUUUAGUAUUAUUUCUUCACUAUUCACCCAAAAUUUGGUGAUAUUUCAUUGCAACUCACUGAAAAUUUGGUGAUAGUAUAAGUAUUUAGAGUAAUUUUUCUGCAACUCACUAGAAAAUUGGUGAAAUUAUUUGUAUUGAGUGUUAUUCAUUUGCUAUUCACCCAAAAUAUGAUGAUCUGUUUCGUUGAUUCACUAAGUAUAAAGUAAGAGUUUCAUUGAUUCACUAAAUUUUUGGUGAUAUUUUUUUUAGUGUAAUUAUUUAUUUUUUACUUAGGGUUAUUCUCAUUUUUCAACUCGCUAUUUAGCUGGACUCACAUCAAUUUCAUUCACUAGAUGUUUGGUGAUAUCUGUAUUUAGUGCAAUGAUUCACUUUGUAUUUAGAGCUAUUUUCAUUGGCUCACUGACUAAUCUUUUAGUGCUACUUCCAUGGAUUCAUUGUACAUUUAGUGUUAUUUUUCCCCUAUUCACUAGAUUUUGAUAACCCUUCACCAUUUUGGGGUAACGAUUGUGACAAUCCAUUAUAUGAGAAAUAACCUCAACCAGUUUGUUAGAGUAAAUCUAUUAGAAAUACAAAGAUGUUUAGGUGAACAGUUCCACAAAUUUGACGCUUUUGCUUUGAACUUCCAAAAAUCAAUUGUUUUUAAGCUGGAUUAUUGUUUCUAUUGAGGGUCUAAUUAAUAAAUUAACAUUCAAAUUAUUUAAACAUAUAAAUUAAAAUAAAAUGUUUACUUCCGGGAGUCAAUUUACUUCACUAUUCCGGAUUUAAAUUUGGAAUUCUAAAACAAUUCCCUAAUUUUCUCAGAUUUAAGUUUUAUAAAAAAAAGAUGAAAUAGUCAUGAGCUAUAUAAAUAAAUAUUUACUCUAAUGAAGGUUGACUAUUCUAAAUAGUCAUAAGCUAUUUAAAUUGAUAUUUACUCUAAUGAAAGGUGACUAUUUUAAAAGAUUGCCUAUUUUUGUAAAUGUUCUUCCAAUUGAGACAGAUAUUAAUGAUAAAAAAUAAUAAAUCAGAAGUAAUACUCAUAAAAAAUAAUACAUAAUGAUUCUGGUGUAUACAGAAUAUAAAAAUAUUUUUUUGUAUAUUGUACAGAUAUAAUACCUACUCUUAUAAUUUAAUAAUAUAAAAUAAUAAAUGAAUAAUUAUGUAAUACUCUAAUAAUAUAAAUAAUAUAAAACCUAAGGAAACUGUAUUAAUACUCAAGGUAUUUUGUUAGGCGUCGUAAUUAAUCUGCUAAACCUUAAAAUUAUUGAUUAACUCAUUAAAAUAUUAUGGAAUUAUUCAUCCUAGUAACAAAUUUAAUCAACCUAGAUAUUCCCAACAUACAAAUGAAACCGAUCUGAUAUUCUAAUUCAAUCAUUCAUAUUUUGAAUAAAAAUUCCUAUUUUAUCAUUCAUAUUUUAAUUAUUACAAUUUUUCGGGCAUUAUCAAUAAUGUAGUAUUAUUGAUUACUAAAAAUAUUCUAGUUCUUGAUAAUUCAAGAUAGUUAUUGGAUAGAAGGUUCCCCAUAAGUCUUUCCUAACAGUUCAGUCUCUCACAAUGGAGAAUUAGAUAUUUGUGUAAAGAUAUUAACUUGAAUAGAUUUAAUAGUGAUUUUGAAGUAAUUCUAUGCAUGACUUUCCACUCUAUUAUAGUAAGUUAUCGCAAUACAUAUACAGUACAUUGUUUAUUCUAUUGCAAAGAAGCCUGUAGUUAUAUAAUUAUAGUAUAUUUAGUAAGUAUUCCAUAAUAUAAAUCUUCAUUCCUCUAGUUUUAUUUGUAAAUUUUAAGAGUUUUUGAACCGGUCCAGGGUAUUUGCAUUUUAAAUAGUUCUAGAACAAUCUUUCAGUGAUUAUAAUCCGUAGAAUUAAAAUUAUAAAAUGUUCUUAUUCAUAAAUUAAUGUAUUGGCCAAGACUGACUGAGUGCCAAUUUUACAGCCAAAAAAUAAACUAAAUUUUCACAAUAAAUUAUUAAAACAAAUUCACAGCCAUUAUGAAUACAUUAUAUUCGGGACCUAUGUGCCAAAUUUACAAUCAGAUUUCUAUGAAUUUUUGAAAAAAUUGAUCAAUACUCGAAAUAAACCUGCAGCUUUGUACAA